CAGUAGCCGCGGUAAUACAGAGGGUGCAAGCGUUAAUCGGAAUUACUGGGCGUAAAGCGCGCGUAGGUGGUUUGUUAAGUUGAAUGUGAAAUCCCCGGGCUCAACCUGGGAACUGCAUCCAAAACUGGCAAGCUAGAGUAGGGCAGAGGGUGGUGGAAUUUCCUGUGUAGCGGUGAAAUGCGUAGAUAUAGGAAGGAACACCAGUGGCGAAGGCGACCACCUGGGCUCAUACUGACACUGAGGUGCGAAAGCGUGGGGAGCAAACAGGAUUAGAUACCCCAGUAGUCCCUGUCUCUUAUAA
rnacentral:rRNA from 1 species